rnacentral:rRNA from 1 species
AGUGAACGCUGGCGGUAGGCCUAACACAUGCAAGUCGAACGGCAGCACAGUAAGAGCUUGCUCUUACGGGUGGCGAGUGGCGGACGGGUGAGGAAUACAUCGUAAUCUACUUUUUCGUGGGGGAUAACGUAGGGAAACUUACGCUAAUACCGCAUACGACCUACGGGUGAAAGCAGGGGAUCUUCGGACCUUGCGCGAUUGAAUGAGCCGAUGUCGGAUUAGCUAGUUGGCGGGGUAAAGGCCCACCAAGGCGGCGAUCCGUAGCUGGUCUGAGAGGAUGGUAGGCCACACUGGAAGUGAGACGCGGACCAUGCUCCUACGGUAGGCAGCAGUGGGGAAUAUUGGACAAUGGGCGGAAACCUGAUCCAGUCAUCCCGCGUGGGUGACGAAGGCCUCCGGGUUGUAAAGACGUUUUGUUGGGAAAGAACCGCAGUAGCCUAAGACCAAGCUUUUGUGACGGUACUGAAUGAAUAAGCACCGGCUAACUUCGUG